CCAACCCUAUAUAAAGGCCGCACAGGAAGCUCGCGGUCUUUUUGUUCCUGAGGCGCGGAGGUGCGAGAGGGCCUCGUGCGGCCCCCGCGUUUAAGAUGCAUCAGCUAUACUAUUCCUUCUUGUGGCUUCAAAACAGAUCUGCCACCAAAUGCACAGCCUUGACGCCACUUCACAAGGAUUUGACUCCUGCACUCAGCAGACAUGCAGAAGGAACAUCACCUGGCACUGGGAGAUGAAGCUCUAACGGUAAACAUUGCAUUGCCU